GGCUCGGGGGGGGGGGGGGGGGGAUGUAAUAGCGCGGGAGGUGGGGCUAAGGGGACCCUCAUCCUCCCUUUCAGACAAGUGGGGGUCCUGAGCGCUGCCCAGAAGGGGUCCAGGGAAUGUUGUGGGCUGGGGCACACCCGCCGGGGCAGAAAUUGGAGGACACCACGGAUGUCGCCAGAAUCCUUUCUAUCCUUCCUUUCAGCUGCCCGGUGUUCACCACCCCUGCGUUAGCACUCUGUAGUCUGGGGACCUCCCGGGGACGUCCCGGGGCUAGCAACCAAGGGGGCUCUCGGAUGCUCUGUGGAUCGCCGCUUCGCCCUUACUCUGGGGACGGUCACACGCGCCCCGCUUCCCCCGGUCGCUUUAGAUCAGGAGUCUGCGCCCUCCCCGGCUCCUCACCCCCACCCCCAGAGUCAAAUGUGGGCCUCUCCUGGAAAUCCUUUGCGAAGGGGACAAACUUUUGAGUGGAUGAAAAUCUAUUGGAGCCUGUCCAGAGCAGCCAAGAUGAUGUUGCUGAACAAGUGUAGGCCAAAGCCUGAGGACCACAGUGCCCUGUCUUGACCCUGAUGCCAAAGGGAAUCAUCACACUGGGCCACUCUGCUCUGGGCUCUGGGUGCUUCACCUCUGUGACCCUGCUUCU
rnacentral:lncRNA from 1 species